AUUGAACGCUGGCGGCAGGCCUAACACAUGCAAGUCGAACGAGCGGCGGACGGGUGAGUAAUGUCUGGGAAACUGCCUGAUGGAGGGGGAUAACUACUGGAAACGGUGGCUAAUACCGCAUACCAUCGGAUGUGCCCAUAUGGGAUUAGCUAGUUGGUGGGGUAAAGGCUCACCUAGGCGACGAUCCCUAGCUGGUCUGAGAGGAUGAUCAGCCACACUGGAACUGAGACACGGUCCAGACUCCUACGGGAGGCAGCAGUGGGGAAUAUUGCACAAUGGGCGCAAGCCUGAUGCAGCCAUGCCGCGUGUAUGAAGAAGGCCUUAGGGUUGUAAAGUACUUUCAGCGGGGAGGCGUUACCCGCAGAAGAAGCACCGGCUAACUCCGUGCCAGCAGCCGCGGUAAUAC
rnacentral:rRNA from 1 species